GGCAGUUGGUGUGGCUCAGUUGGUAGAGCAUGGCGCUUGUACCGCCAGGGUUGUGGGUUCGAUUCCCACGGGGGGCCA